rnacentral:rRNA from 1 species
GAUGAACGCUGGCGGCGUGCCUAAUACAUGCAAGUCGAGCGAACAGACGAGGAGCUUGCUCCUCUGACGUUAGCGGCGGACGGGUGAGUAACACGUGGAUAACCUACCUAUAAGACUGGGAUAACUUCGGGAAACCGGAGCUAAUACCGGAUAAUAUAUUGAACCGCAUGGUUCAAUAGUGAAAGACGGUUUUGCUGUCACUUAUAGAUGGAUCCGCGCCGCAUUAGCUAGUUGGUAAGGUAACGGCUUACCAAGGCAACGAUGCGUAGCCGACCUGAGAGGGUGAUCGGCCACACUGGAACUGAGACACGGUCCAGACUCCUACGGGAAGCAGCAGUAGGGAAUCUUACGCAAUGGGCGAAAGCCUGACGGAGCAACGCCGCGUGAGUGAUGAAGGUCUUCGGAUCGUAAAACUCUGUUAUUAGGGAAGAACAAAUGUGUAAGUAACUAUGCACGUCUUGACGGUACCUAAUCAGAAAGCCACGGCUAACUACGUG